rnacentral:rRNA from 1 species
CACACGACUCUCAGCAACAGAUAUCUCGGCUCUCGCAUCGAUGAAGAAUGUAGCAAAAUGCGAUACCUGGUGUGAAUUGUAGAAUCCCGCGAACCAUCGAGUUUUUGAACGCAAGUUGCGCCCGAGGCCUUCUGGCUGAGGGCACGCCUGCCUAGGCGUCAUGC